GUCCUGAUCCAGCCAUGCCGCGUGUGUGAAGAAGGCCUUAUGGUUGUAAAGCACUUUAAGCGAGGAGGAGGCUACUUUAGUUAAUACCUAGAGAUAGUGAACGUUACUCGCAGAAUAAGCACCGGCUAACUCUGUGCCAGCAGCCGCGGUAAUACAGAGGGUGCGAGCGGUAAUCGAAUAUACUGGGCGUAGAGCGCGCGUAGGCGGCUUAUUAAGUGAUAUGUGAAAUCCCCGAGCUUAACUUGGGAAUUGCAUUCGAUACUGGUGAGCUAGAGUAUGGGAGAGGAUGGUAGAAUUCCAGGUGUAGCGGUGAAAUGCGUAGAGAUCUGGAAGAAUACCGAUGGCGAAGGCAGCCAUCUGGCCUAAUACUGACGCUGAGGUACGAAAGCGUGGGGAGCACACGGGAUUAUAUUCCCUGGUAGUCCGUGCCAUACACUAUGUGCUCUAUCCUUUGGGGCCUUUGACGCUUUAGGCGGGCACCUAAGGCGAUAAGUAUACCGCCGGGGGAGAACGGCCGCAAAACUAAAACUCAAAUAAUUGGACGGGGGCCCGCACAAGCGGGGGAAAAGGUGGUUAAUUUCGAUGCACCGCGAAAAACCUUACCUGCCUUGAUAUACUAAAACUUCUCCAAAGAUGGGUUUGUUCCCUUCGGAAAAUAUACAUCCGGUGCUGCAGGGCUCUUCGUCGAAAAAA
rnacentral:rRNA from 1 species